CAAUAGCGUAUAUUUAAGUUGUUGCAGUUAAAAAGCUCGUAGUUGGAUUUCGGGUGGGUACCGCCGGUCUCCCAUUGGGUAUGUACUGGCGUGGCCCGCCUUGCUGUCGGGGACGGUCUCCUGGGCUUAAUUGCUCGGGAAUCGGAGUCGACGAUGUUACUUUGAGUAAAUUAGAGUGUUCAAAGCAAGCCUACGCUCUGAAUAUAAUAGCAUGGGAUAACACGACAGGACUCUGGCCUAUCGUGUUGGUCUGUAGGACCGGAGUAAUGAUUAAGAGGGACAGUCGGGGGCAUUCGUAUUCCGUUGUCAGAGGUGAAAUUCUUGGAUUUACGGAAGACGAACAUCUGCGAAAGCAUUUGCCAAGGAUGUUUUCAUUGA
rnacentral:rRNA from 1 species